AGGGGGGGGAGGGGAGACGGGUUAGAAAUGGGGUGAUGGUGGGGUGAGGGGAGAUGGGUGAGAAACAGGGAGGGGUAAGGUGGGGGAGGAAGGGGUGAGUGGGAAUGGAUAAAAAUGAGGAAAUGGGUUAAAAUGAGGAAUAAAUUAAAAUGAGGAAAUGGGCAAAAAUGAGGAAUGAAUUAAAAUCAGGGAAUGGGUAAAAAAAUGGAUAAAAAUGAAAUGGGUAAAAAUGAAGAAUGGAUAUAAAUGAAAUGGGUAAAAAUGAAUGGAUAAAAAUCAAAAAAUGGGUGAGAAAUGGGUGAGAAAUAGGGAUAAGGUGGGGUGGGAAGGGGUGGGGGAGAUGGGUGAAAAGUGGGGUGAUGGUGAUGGGGGGGUGGAAGACCAGUGAGAAAUGGGGAUAUGGGGGAAGAGGGAGCAGAUAUGAGGGUGGAUAAAAGAAUGCAAAUAGUAUUAAGAGGUAUUUAUGAGGUCAGGAAUAGUGGAAAUGGGUGACGUGUAAUGGAGUGAACAUGAGGGUGGAAAUGGGUUAUAGAAAAUGGAUGUGAGAUGAAAACUAGCAGAAAUAGGAAGGAGAAAUGGGGAUCAGGGGUGACUACGAUGUGAGAAAUGGGUGAUGUGUAAUGGAGUGAACAUGAGGGUGGAAAUGGGUAAUAGGAAAUGGAUGUGACAUGAAAACUAGCAGAAAUAGGAAGGAGAAAUGGGGAUCAGGGGUGAAUAUGGUGUGAGAAAUGGGUGACCAGUGUAAUGGGGUGAAUGAGUGGAAAUGGGUAUUAGGAAAUGGAUGUGAGAUGAAGACUAGCAGAAAUAGGAAGAAAUGGGGAUUGGGGGUGACUAUGUUGUGAGAAAUGGGUGAUCAGUGUAAUGGGGUGUAUAUAAGGGUGGAAAUGGGUAAUAGGAAAUGGAUGUGAGAUGGACUAGUAGAAAUGGGAAGGAGAGAAAUGGGGUUGAUAUGAAUGAUGGGUGACUUGGGGUAAGGAAUGGGUGAUGGGGUGAGAAAUGGGUGUAAUAGAGAGGAAGGUAAGAAAUGGGUAAAUGGGUGAGUUGUAAGAAAUAGGGAAAUGGGAGACAGUUCAAGGGUGAGAAAUGGGUUAAGUUAAUGGGUUUGAAAUAGGGAAAAUCAGGGAAAGGGGCAAAAAUAAGCAAAUACGCAAAAAAUGGGGAGAAAUUGGUCAAACUGGGCAAGAUAUCAAUCAAGAAAUGGGUGAAAUCUUGCAAAAUAGGUAAAAUUGGGCAAGAUAUGGGUAGUUUAAAAAAAAUAAGUAAAAAGAGCAAUUGAUAACUGAGAAGGAAAUGGUAAAAUUGGGCAAGAAAUGGGUAUAGGGGCAAAAAUGGGUGAAAUAGGCAAAUUGAUGAAAUUGGGGAGAAAUGAGCAAUAGGUAAAAUGGGGAAUAAAUGAGUAGUAAUGGGUAAAAUAGGGACUGUAAAAAUGGCUUAGUGUUAAAAUGGGUGAAAUGGGGAAAUGGAUAAAAAUGGGGAAAUAGGUAAAAAUUAGGAAAUAGGGGAAAAUGAGGAAUGGAUAUAAAUGAAAUGGGUAAAAAUGGGCAAGAAAUUAGUAAAAAUGAAAUGGGUAAAAUUGGGAAAUGGGGAAUAGGGAAGAAAUGGGUGAAAUGGAUAAAAAUGGGCAAGAUAUUGGGAAAAAUAAAAUGGGUAUAAAUAGGGAAAUGGGGAAUAGGGAAGAAAUGGGUGAAAUGGGGAAAUGGAUAAAAAUGAAGAAAUGGGUAAAAAUGAAGAUAAAAAUGGGGAAAUGGGUCAAAAUAGGGAAGAAAUGGGUGUGAAUUAAAUAGUCAAUAUAUACACACACACAAACAGGCACAGCAAAUGAUAUAAAAAAAAAAAAAAAAAAAAAAAUCAAGCAGGCUGUGUGUGCGCAUGUCUGUAAGCAUGGCCAAGCUCGUGUGCGUCUCUAUGUAUGUGCGUGUGUCUCACCACCACACGCACACGGUUAACAAACGCACACAGGUAUACACAUGAGGCAUUAGUACGUACACACGCUAGCCGUUAGCACACAUGGUUAUGCGUACAUGUUGCCCUUAGCUGUACGCACAUGGCGAUGUAUACACCUUGCCCGUUAGUACACACAGAGCUAUGUACACUCUGGCCAUACACGCACACACAAGAGAUGUAUGCGUUAAAAGUACACAUGACCUAGUUGGUACACACGCUCUCCUCCAUGUGUACACUAGGUAUGUGUGCGUAAAUUAGUUCACACACACACACACACACACACACACACACACAUUCAAGCAGUUUCAUCCCUCUAGAAAGUGUGUGUGUGUGUGUGUGUGUGUGGUUUCUAUGGGUGGAGUCGGCUAAUAAGCAGAACUUAUGAAUAUCCUGCUAGGCGGAGGAGGAAGAGGAGGAGGAGGAGGAGGAGGAGAAGAGCAAUGUCACUUCCCUCGCUCUACAUCCUCUCUCUCUCUCUCUCUCUCUCUCUCUCUCUCUCUCUCUCUCCACCAACACACUUUCUAUGCUCUAUAUAUUUCCACCUGUAUGUCUGUCUGUCUGUCUGUCUGUAUAAGUAUGUCUGUAAAUGCCUAACUGUAUAUAAUUAUGUGUCUACCUUUGUCUGUUGGCUGGUCUAUCUGUAAAUAUAUAUAACUAUUUGUGUAUAUAUCUAUCUAUCUGUCUGUCUGUCUAUAGGAAUAAUGAUUAAGUUUGUCUAUACGAAUUCUAAUUUUUUCCUUCCUUUUUAGUUUCAUUUGUUUAUCUUUCUGUUUAACUAUCUAUCUAUCUAUCUAUCUAUAAAUACAAUGAUUAGGUUUCUACAUCUAUACAAACACCUUCCUUUUCUAUUUCACUUGAUUCUCUUUUCCUCUGUGUUUGUCUGUCUAUCUAUAAGCAUAACAAUAAGGUUCAUUCAUCUAUCAAAAUCCUUCUUUCAUUCAUUCUUCAGUUCCUUCACCUGUAACAACCUUUCAAUUCUUUCCUAAUUCACUUGAUUCUCUCUUUCUCUCUGUGUGUCUCUAUAUAUCAACAAGCAUAAUAUAAGGUUCCUUCGUCUAUACAAAUUCUUUCAUUCAUUCUUCAGUUCCUUCACCUGUAACAACCUUUCAAUUCUUUCCUAAUUCACUUGAUUCUCUCUUUCUCUCUGUGUGUCUCUAUAUAUCAACAAGCAUAAUAUAAGGUUCCUUCAUCUAUACAAAUUCUCUUUCAUUCUUAGGUUUCUUCAUCUAUACAAAACCCUUCUUCCUUCCUUUCUUUUCUAUUUCACUUCAUUCUGUUCUUCUGUGUGUCUCUAUAUAUCAACAAGCAUAAUAUAAGGUUCCUU